GUGAGGUGUAACCUAAUCUCAAUAAUUACCCAAAACUGUUAUGUGGAAAUUAUUAAACUUGUUUGCUACGUUAAUCAUGUAAGUAUACGUCUAAUAUUUGUAAUACGUAAAAUACUAUACAAGUAAACUGGUUUAAUGCGACCAUUAUCAAAUUAUAUACAAUACAUGCAAAUUCAUGCCAUUACUUUCAUUUUGCAUGGAUUAGCACAUGAUAGGCAUUUGAAAACAAGUAACUGUUAGAUGCAUUGUAUAAUUAAUUCUACUAACCCUGAAAUGAAAUAUUAGGACAAAUAACAAAGACGUAUUCUGAAAAUACAUGCAAUUACUUUCUCGCAUGAUAUAUCUGGAAGUAUGUUUAAGUAUCUAUUCUGACAUUGAUGAGGAAAUUACAACCAAAAAAUUAUGGGGUAGGAAAGUUGAAUAGAUCCAUCACAGAAAUUGAACAGUGUGGAAUAAAAUAUUAGGACAAAUAACAAAGACGUAUUCUGAAAAUAGAUGGAAUUACUAUCUCGCAGAAUAUAUCUGGAAAUAUGUUUAAGCAUUUAUUCAGACAUUGAUGAGGAAAUUACAACCAAAAAAUUAUGGAGCAGAAAAGUUGAAUAGUUACAUUACAGAAAUUGAACAGCGUGGAAUGAAAUAUUAGGACAAAUAACAAAGACAUAUUCUGAAAAUAGAUGCAAUUACUUUCUCGCAUGAUAUAUGUGGAAAUAUGUUUAAGCAUUUAUUCAGACAUUGAUGAGGAAAUUACAACCAAAAAAUUAUGGAGUAGAAAAGUUGAAUAGAUCCAUUAAAGAAAUUAAGGACAAUGUAUGCAUUUGUUGCAGUAUGUUAAUAAAAACGUACUACGGAUAGUUCAAAUUCUUUAUGCAUAUUUAAAAAAUGAAA